GGACGUGUAUCCGUGAUACAUGGCGAAUCCAACGAUGCGCAUGCGCAAACCUUUUCACACAAGCUAAUUCAGUUGGGACCAGGAAACAGAGAAACGUUACUCGCUGGAUAAUUUCACUUUAAUUAGUGUGAACGUGAUGGUUUAACUCGAGUAGUGAGUUGUACGUGGAACUGAAUGAAUAUUUUGGUGAAGAUAGGAUUAAUUGGGAUUAACCUCUAACGCUCCGACUUUUAACUGUGAAUAUCGACCGGCAACUUCAACUUAUUCUCAUCAUGCUUCGACUUGCAAGUUUUUAAGUGUCAGAUUUGAAAUGCUACAAUGACGUGCAGAUAAUAAUAUUAAAGUCAUUCAAAACAAUCUUAAUUCAUCUGAGAAGUAAUAAUUUUGAUUACAAUACUUAUAUUAAAUAUAAACGAGUAAUGUGUGGAA